rnacentral:misc_RNA from 1 species
UCUCCGUAGGUGAACCUGCGGAGGGAUCAUUACUGAGUGAGGGCUCACGCCCGACCUCCAACCCUUUGUGAACACCUCUUGUUGCUUCGGGGGCGACCCUGCCGGCACUCUGUCGCCGGGCGCCCCCGAAGGUCUCCAAACACUGCAUCUUUGCGUCGGAGUUUAAAACAAAUUAAACAAAACUUUCAACAACUGAUCUCGUGGUUCUGGCAACGAUGAAGAACGCAGC